UGUAUGUGGGCUAUGGCAAAGGCAUAUC
rnacentral:piRNA from 1 species